rnacentral:rRNA from 1 species
GAUGAACGCUGGCGGCGUGCCUAAUACAUGCAAGUCGAGCGAACAGACGAGGAGCUUGCUCCUCUGACGUUAGCGGCGGACGGGUGAGUAACACGUGGAUAACCUACCUAUAAGACUGGGAUAACUUCGGGAAACCGGAGCUAAUACCGGAUAAUAUAUUGAACCGCAUGGUUCAAUAGUGAAAGACGGUUGUGCUGUCACUUAUAGAUGGUUCCGCGCCGCAUUAGCUAGUUGGUAAGGUAACGGCUUACCAAGGCGACGAUGCGUAGCCGACCUGAGAGGGUGAUCGGCCACACUGGAACUGAGACACGGUCCAGACUCCUACGGGAGGCAGCAGUAGGGAAUGUUCCGCAAUGGGCGAAAGCCUGACGGAGCAACGCCGCGUGAGUGAUGAAGGUCUUCGGAUCGUAAAACCCUGUUAUUAGGGAAGAACAAAUGUGUAAGUAACUAUGCACGUCUUGACGGUACCUAAUCAGAAAGCCCCGGCUAACUACGUG